AAAUAUAUACUUCAUCCGUUUCACAAUGUAAGUCAUUCUAGCAUUUCCCACAUUCAUAUUGAUGUUAAUGAAUCUAGAUAGAUAUAUAUGUCUAGAUUCAUUAACAUCAAUAUGAAUAUGAGAAAUGCUAGAAUGACUUACAUUGUGAAACGGAGGGAGUAUAU
rnacentral:miRNA from 1 species